rnacentral:rRNA from 1 species
AGAAUGAACGCUGGCGGCGUGCUUAACACAUGCAAGUCGAACGGAAUCCAAGGAGCUUGCUCUGGAAGAUUUAGUGGCGAACGGGUGAGUAUCACGUGAGCAACCUGCCCCGAAGACUGGGAUAACACCGGGAAACCGGUGCUAAUACCGGAUACCUUCCAAUGACCGCAUGGUCGAUGGAAGAAAUGUUUUUCGCUUCGGGAGGGGCUCGCGGUCCAUCAGCUUGUUGGCGGGGUAACGGCCCACCAAGGCUUCGACGGAUAGCUGGUCUGAGAGGACGAUCAGCCACACUGGAACUGAGACACGGUCCAGACUCCUACGGGAGGCAGCAGUGGGGAAUCUUGCGCAAUGGACGAAAGUCUGACGCAGCAACGCCGCGUGAGGGACGAAGGUUUUCUGAAUUGUAAACCUCUUUCGACAGGGACGAUAAUGACGGUACCUGUAGAAGAGCACGGCCAACUAUGUGCCAGCAGCCGCGGU